rnacentral:tRNA from 1 species
GACGGGGCGCGGCAUACUCCACGCGUCCGGACUGUAAAUCCGUCGGCUUAGCCUACCCAGGUUCGAAUCCUGGCGCCGCCA